rnacentral:rRNA from 1 species
CGGCCGCGGUAUCCUGACCGUGCAAAGGUAGCAUAAUCACUUGUUCCCUAAUUAGGGACUAGAAUGAAUGGCCAAACGAGGAUUCAACUGUCUCUUAUUUUUUAUCAGUGAAAUUGACCUUUCAGUGAAGAGGCUGAAAUACUAAAAUAAGACGAGAAGACCCUAUGGAGCUUAAAUUAAAAGUUUAAUUUUACUCUUAUUAACCUAAUGGUUUAACACAAAAAUUUUAAACUCUAAAUUUCGGUUGGGGUGACCUCGGAGAACAAAAAAUCCUCCGAAUGAUUUUAACAUAGACCAACAAGUCAAAGUAACCCAAAGAUCUUAUUGACCCAAAAAAAUUUUUGAUCAACGGACCAAGUUACCCUAGGGAUAACAGCGCAAUCCUAUUUUAGAGUCCAUAUCGACAAUAGGGUUUACGACCUCGAUGUUGGAUCAGGACAUCCCAAUGGCGCA